rnacentral:rRNA from 1 species
GACGAACGCUGGCGGCGUGCUUAACACAUGCAAGUCGAACGGAAAGGCCCUGCUUUUGUGGUGUGCUCGAGUGGCGAACGGGUGAGUAACACGUGUGUAACCUGCCCUUGAUUUUGGUAUAACUUCAGGAAACUGGGGCUAAUACCGUAUAGGAGCUCCUGCUGCAUUGUGGGGGUUGGAUAGUUUCGGCGGUUGGGGAUGGACUCGCGGCUUAUCAGCUUGUUGGUGGGGUAGUGGCUUACCAAGGCGUUGACGGGUAGCCGGCCUGGGAGGGUGACCGGCCACAUAGGGAGUGAGGUACGGCCCAGACGCAUAAGGGAGGAAGCGGUGGGAAAUAUAGCACAAUGGGCGGAAGCCGGAUGGAGCAACGCCGGGUGGGGGAGGACGGCCGUCGGGUUGUAAACCGCUUUCGCCUGUAACGAAGCGUGAGGAAGGGAAAUGGGGAAAGAAGCACCGGCUAACUAGGU